GACAGUGUGUCCGAGUGGUUAAGGAAGUGGACUCGAAAUCCACUAGGUUAUGCCUGCGCAGGUUCGAAUCCUGCCGCUGUCG
rfam:Perkinsus marinus ATCC 50983 gcontig_1104296479596, whole genome shotgun sequence.